rnacentral:misc_RNA from 1 species
UUUCCGUAGGUGAACCUGCGGAAGGAUCAUUAUAGAGUUCAUGCCCUCACGGGUAGAUCUCCCACCCUUGAAUAUUUAUACCUUAGUUGCUUUGGCAGGCCGUGGAAACACCAUGGGCUCCGGCUUAUGCGUGCCUGCCAGAGGAAACAAACUCUGUUUUAAGUGAUGCCUGAGUACUAUAUAAUAGUUAAAACUUUCAACAACGGAUCUCUUGGUUCUG